GACUGCUCUGAUGGCAUAGUGGUUAGAGCGUACGCCUCUGAUGCGGGUGGUCGUGGGUUCGAACUCCGUCUGAGUCA